rnacentral:rRNA from 1 species
GUGGGGAAUAUUGGACAAUGGGCGAAAGCCUGAUCCAGCAAUGCCGCGUGAGUGAAGAAGGCCUUCGGGUUGUAAAGCUCUUUUACCCGGGAAGAUAAUGACUGUACCGGGAGAAUAAGCCCCGGCUAACUCCGUGCCAGCAGCCGCGGUAAUACGGAGGGGGCUAGCGUUGUUCGGAAUUACUGGGCGUAAAGCGCACGUAGGCGGUCUUUUAAGUCAGAGGUGAAAGCCCGGGGCUCAACUCCGGAAUUGCCUUUGAAACUGGGAGACUUGAACACGGGAGAGGUGAGUGGAAUUCCGAGUGUAGAGGUGAAAUUCGUAGAUAUUCGGAGGAACACCAGUGGCGAAGGCGGCUCACUGGACCGUUGUUGACGCUGAGGUGCGAAAGCGUGGGGAGCAAACAGGAUUAGAUACCCGAGUAGUCC